rnacentral:rRNA from 1 species
AUACGUAGGUGACAAGCGUUAUCCGGAUUUACUGGGCGUAAAGGGCGUGUAGGCGGUCUUGCAAGUCAGAAGUGAAAUUCCUGAGCUCAACUCGGGCGCUGCUUCUGAAACUGCAGGACUUGAGUGCUGGAGGGGAUAGCGGAAUUCCUAGUGGAGCGGUAAAAUGCGCAGAUAUUAGGAAGAACACCGGUGGCGAAGGCGGUUAUCUGGACAGUAACUGACGCUGAGGCGCGAAAGCGUGGGGAGCAAACAGGAUUAGAUACCCGGGUAGUCCACGCCGUAAACGAUGAAUACUAGGUGUAGGGGGUAUCGACUCCCUCUGUGCCGCAGUUAACACAAUAAGUAUUCCGCCUGGGGAGUACGGCCGCAAGGUUGAAACUCAAAUGAAUUGACGGGG